AAUAUUGCGCAAUGGAGGGAACUCUGACGCAGCGACGCCGCGUGAGCGAUGAAGGUCUUCGGAUCGUAAAGCUCUGUCCUUGGGGAAGAAGGUCUUCGGACUUGACGGUACCUAAGGAGGAAGCCCCGGCUAACUACGUGCCAGCAGCCGCGGUAAUACGUAGGGGGCAAGCGUUGUCCGGAAUUAUUGGGCGUAAAGGGUACGUAGGCGGACUUUUAAGUCAGGGGUGAAAUCCCGAGGCUCAACCUCGGAACUGCCUUUGAAACUACUAGUCUUGAAUUAUGUUGAGGUUGGCGGAAUACGACAUGUAGCGGUGAAAUGCAUAGAUAUGUUGUGGAACACCGAUUGCGAAGGCAGCUGACUGAACAUAUAUUGACGCUGAGGUACGAAAGCGUGGGGAUCAAAC
rnacentral:rRNA from 1 species